rnacentral:rRNA from 1 species
UACAGAGACUGCAAGCGUUAUUCGGAUUCACUGGGCGUAAAGGGUGCGCAGGCGGCCAAGUGUGUCAGGUGUGAAAUCCCGAGCUUAACCUCGGAACUGCGCCUGAAACUACUUGGCUAGAGUACUGGAGAGGGUAACGGAAUUCACGGUGUAGCAGUGAAAUGCGUAGAUAUCGUGAGGAACACCAGAGGCGAAGGCGGUUACCUGGACAGUUACUGACGCUCAGGCACGAAAGCGUGGGGGAGCAAAAGGG